CUACGGAGCUUACACAUGCAGUCGAACGGUCUCUUCGGAGAUAGUGGCGGACGGGUGAGUAACGCGUGAGAAUCUAGCUUCAGGUCGGGGACAACCACUGGAAACGGUGGCUAAUACCGGAUGUGCCGAAAGGUGAAAGAUUUAUUGCCUGAAGAUGAGCUCGCGUCUGAUUAGCUAGUUGGUGUGGUAAGAGCGCACCAAGGCGACGAUCAGUAGCUGGUCUGAGAGGAUGAUCAGCCACACUGGGACUGAGACACGGCCCAGACUCCUACGGGAGGCAGCAGUGGGGAAUUUUCCGCAAUGGGCGAAAGCCUGACGGAGCAAUACCGCGUGAGGGAGGAAGGCUCUUGGGUUGUAAACCUCUUUUCUCAGGGAAUAAAAAAAUGAAGGUACCUGAGGAAUAAGCAUCGGCUAACUCCGUGCCAGCAGCCGCGGUAAUACGGAGGAUGCAAGCGUUAUCCGGAAUGAUUGGGCGUAAAGCGUCCGCAGGUGGCACUGUAAGUCUGCUGUUAAAGAGCAAGGCUCAACCUUGUAAAGGCAGUGGAAACUACAGAGCUAGAGUACGUUCGGGGCAGAGGGAAUUCCUGGUGUAGCGGUGAAAUGCGUAGAAAAUC
rnacentral:rRNA from 1 species